AGUGAACGCUGGCGGUAGGCCUAACACAUGCAAGUCGAACGGCAGCACAGUAAGAGCUUGCUCUUACGGGUGGCGAGUGGCGGAUGGGUGAGGAAUACAUCGGAAUCUACUUUUUCGUGGGGGAUAACGUAGGGAAACUUACGCUAAUACCGCAUACGACCUACGGGUGAAAGCAGGGGAUCUUCGGACCUUGCGCGAUUGAAUGAGCCGAUGCCGGAUUAGCUAGUUGGCGGGGUAAAGGCCCACCAAGGCGACGAUCCGUAGCUGGUCUGAGAGGAUGAUCAGCCACACUGGAACUGAGACACGGUCCAGACUCCUACGGGAGGCAGCAGUGGGGAAUAUUGGACAAUGGGCGCAAGCCUGAUCCAGCCAUACCGCGUGGGUGAAGAAGGCCUUCGGGUUGUAAAGCCCUUUUGUUGGGAAAGAAAAGCAGCAGGUUAAUACCCCGCUGUUCUGACGGUACCCAAAGAAUAAGCACCGGCUAACUUCGUG
rnacentral:rRNA from 1 species